rnacentral:tRNA from 1 species
GUGGGCGUCUUCUAAUGGUUAGGAAAUCUCGUUGUGGUCUUAACCGUCUUGCUAGGUCUUGGCUAGAUGGUCAAUCCCGUGAAAAUGUCGGUUCGAUUCCGGCCGCCCACA